rnacentral:rRNA from 1 species
CCUACGGGUGGCAGCAGUGAGGAAUAUUGGUCAAUGGGCGCGAGCCUGAACCAGCCAAGUCGCGUGAGGGAUGACGGCCCUACGGGUUGUAAACCUCUUUUGCCGGGGAGCAAAAAGCGCCACGCGUCGCGCCCCGAGAGUACCCGGAGAAAAAGCAUCGGCUAACUCCGUGCCAGCAGCCGCGGUAAUACGGAGGAUGCGAGCGUUAUCCGGAUUUAUUGGGUUUAAAGGGUGCGCAGGCGGAAGAGCAAGUCAGCGGUAAAAUUGAGAGGCUCAACCUCUUCCCGCCGUUGAAACUGGUGUUCUUGAGUGGGCGAGAAGUAUGCGGAAUGCGUGGUGUAGCGGUGAAAUGCAUAGAUAUCACGCAGAACUCCGAUUGCGAAGGCAGCAUACCGGCGCCCAACUGACGCUCAUGCACGAAAGCGUGGGUAUCGAACAGGAUUAGAUACCCCAGUAGUC